rnacentral:rRNA from 1 species
CAGCACCUCAAGUGGUCAGGAUGAUUAUUGGGCCUAAAGCAUCCGUAGCCGGUCUUAUAAAUGCCUGGGUAAAUCGUGCCGCUUAACGGUACGAAUUCCGGGUAGACUGUAAGACUUGAGACCGGGUGAGGCUAGAGGUACUCCUGGGGUAGAGGUGAAAUUCUGUAAUCCUAGGGGGACCACCAGUGGCGAAGGCGUCUAGCUAGAACGGGUCUGACGGUGAGGGACGAAGCCCUGGGGCGCAAACCGGAUUAGAUACCCGAGUAGUCC